AGUAGAUCCAUUGAAAAUGUGAUUAAAAGGUACUGGCCAAUACUACAGCAUGAUCCCAAAUAUGGUCCAAUUUUCUCUAUACCACCUCGUUUUGCAUAUAAAAGGGGAAAAACUAUACGCGAUAUACUCUGCCAGAAUACCGCCCCGAAAAACGAGGAUAAAGUGUUUAAAGGUACACCAAAGAUAGGUACCUUUCCUUGCUUGAGCUGUAUUUGCUGUAAUUCUAUUAUAAAAGGUGCACACAUUAAUCAUCCCGCAACAGGCAAAGAAAUUAAACUGUCCACAUAUGCCACUUGUUCAACAAACUAUGUUGUUUACGUGUUAAAAUGUCCAUGUGGGAAGUUAUACGUAGGUAAGACUAUAAGAUCAGUUAAUACCAGAAUCAAAGAGCAUAAAAAUGCAAUUCGCAAUUUUAAAGCAAACACAUAUACAGACACUUCUGUAUCCAGACAUUUUUCUGAGGCAAGGCACAACGUCUGCCAACUAAAGUGGAAAGUAUUGGAAGUUGUUCCUAAAAUGUCCAAAGGGGGCGAUAGAAAUAAUCUGCUACUCCAAAGAGAGUCCCGUUGGAUUAAUCGAUUAGAUAGCACGUACCCCAAAGGAAUGAAUGAACAGCUCAACUUGGCUUGUUUCUUAUAACUUGUUUCUUAUAACUUGUUUAUUAUUGUUUACCUUAGUGCUAAUUCACAAUUUACUUUCUUCACAGAUUAUUCUGACAGCCAGUUAGUGGCCGGUUUAACGGAUCUCCUGCCGUAUAAGCAUUGUGGAUGUUCCUACACCAGUGGUUCAAUUUGGACUUCACUACCACACCUGGACACGAUGAACUCUAACUAUAUUGUUUCACCUGUUGCUUAUGUGAAUACUUAAUUGAUUAAUAGGGUCUGCACCCACAAUGCAACCCUUAAGGUGAAAGGUCAUUGUUUGUUUAAAUGUUCCCUUUUGCACUGUUCAUGCACACUUGAUAAAGGGCCUUGCCCGAAACAUGUAGUGUGCUGUUCACUACCCCAAUAAAGAUACACUUGCAGACUCA